GCGGGAGUGGUGUAACGGCAGCCACGCCAGGUUUAGGUCCUGGUGCCUUCGGGCGUGGGGGUUCGACUCCCCCCUCCCGCA
rnacentral:tRNA from 2 species